UCAGCUGAGACUGCGCUUGACGGGGGCUUGAGGAAAGACCGGCUGACUGCCAGCAACUGUGGCACCUGCUGAAAAGGGUGGAUAAGUCUGGUUCAGAGCGGAUGAUGUCGGCUCGGUCACUGCUGUAGCAGCUGAGACGGCGCUUGACGGGGGCUUGAGGAAAGACCGUCUGACUCCCGGGAACCCUUCUGGUCCUGAGCACCAGCGGGAUCCAGCUGUGGCACCUGCAGAAACAAGUGGAUAAGUCGGGUUCAUAGAGGAUGAUGUCGCCUCGGUUACUGCUGUAGCAGAUGAGAAACUAGGAGACAGCUGGUCGAUGCCAGUGGGUUUCCACACUCAGAUUCCCAAGUCUUCUGACACCUAACUUCGAGGAGGCUUCGAGUGAGGACAUCGCUGCUUCGGUGCACAGGAAUGUCCUGUCAUUGGCUGCGUGUCGGGGGCAGGAGGAGAAGGAGCGCGUGUCGUUUCGAGCACUAACACAGUCCUCACACUGCAGCCAGCGGAGGUCCAGCCCGUUCCGGAAGGGGUGCGGUGAGGUCCAAACCGGCGCCGUCCCUCCUCCACCUCCAAGGAUCCGUCAGCACGCGCACGCGAAGGCGCCCGCACAUCUACCUUUGGUGAAAUGCAUGUC